GUACUUUAAAUAAAUGUAUUUUUUAUUACUUUCCACUUUCCACACACUUACAGCCGGGUUGUGACAAAAUGUUGAAAUGUUCUUCACGGCGGGCUUCUCCUGCACUACUUCUUGAGGAGCGAUGGUCAGCAUCACACUUAGGCCAGCAAUUCUAUCAACCUAAUUAAGGAACCUGUCCAUCGCGCAUCAAAGGCAAAGCCCGUUGGAGGUCAAGAUCAACCUUGUCACAAGGGCCUCGUCCAAAGCCAUCACCUACAACGCUGAAGUACCUUCCCCUAACCACCAUCACCCAUGCACCAGCGCCCCCACCUACACAGCAGCCAGCUCUGCUGUCUUGGAAGACAGAAAUAGACCUGCAAACUGCUCCCUCUCUCCAAGUUACAACAAGUGGACACUGGGGGCUCAGCUCCACCUCCACAUAUACAGCCCUCAUUCUCAAAACACACAAUACAAGCAGUAUUCUAAACAGAUAUCACAGGGAAAGAAAUAUAAAUGGACAAGUACAUUAGGCUGCGUCUGUGCACCAUCAUGGUAAAACUAGACAGUAUCACAGAUUACUGGAGACAUUAUCACCUUCCAUCACAGAUCAUGCUAUGGUAUAGAAUGCAGAACAAUAUCUUGUUACCUUUUAUCUUAGCGACCCUGAUGAGGAUAAUGACGGAAAAAGAGGCACAGGCCGCCAUGACAAACUCUUCUGACUUAAAAUCCCUGAUGAUCAUCAAAAAUGCAUGCAAGUCAUUUUACCAACCCAACCGAGAUCAGGCUGUGAAUAAAAGACUGGUCGCCUCCAAGAUUUAACAGGGAAUGACCCAGUUUAUGGAAGCAAGUGGGGAUUCAAGCUGUUCGCCUCGGCCGAUUCAAAGAAUGGCUCCAGUGGACUUUUCAUUUUACAUCUGCAAAAGCGACAUCCUGCUUAUAGGGAGAACCGCAGCAACUCGCAAGAAAAUAUGAAACCGGGUUUAAAAAAAAAAAUACAAAAUGGAUGGUCACAGGUGUUGGUCUGAUCCCCAAUUCACAAAGUACAUUGUGGUAAAACUGUGCAGAGGAGGGUGAAACAAUGACGGGGCUCUUGGACAAAGGUAUCAAUCCCUUGUCCCACAUCAGUUCGAAAGAACAAUGGGUGGAUCUGAACUAUCAGACCAGAGCAUUCAGUAUUUCACAUCACAAAAGCCUGUUUUAUCAUUUUCUGGACAUUGCCACCACCAACAGCGACAUUCUUCACAAGGAUCUCUGUCCAGCCCAGCAAACCAAACCCAUGACACACAGAGCUUUUAUAGAUGAGCGGACUGCCGAACAGCCGAAUAUUGGCAAGCCUCUCCGCACAGCUCCUGCCCUGGCGCUUGCAGGUCAUCCUGCUGUGCCUAUCGCUGAUGUCCAUGCAGCAGUCCACAGAGAGAGCGAGCCACCACGGGAGGUGUGAACAUUGCCAAAGCGAAGGCCAGCAAAAGGACACACCGUGGAAAUGCAGGGAGUGUGAUGAUGCUCUCUGCCUGCAGCUGGACAGAAACAGUUUUGCAGUGUGACAUGACCGUUCAAAAAAAAUUAAACAUGAAAACAUGCGCAUUAUGUAAAUAUCUGUUUUAUAGUUGGAUUUAAAUUUAAAUGUUUAAUACUCAUUUCUCAUUUUCACGCAUCCCUUGAAGCUUGAUAUGUAUCAUGAAAUCAUUUUUCUGUCCCGUUUUAUCUCAGUCCCUCAAUGAUGAAAGUGGAGUGGGGUCUACUCAAAUAUUACAAAAUGUCAUUUUAGACAUUCAUUGCACAUUUUAUUCAUAUACUACACUACUUUUGUGAACCUAAGACUUUGGUAAACCCAUUUUAAGCUCCCAAGCAAUUUGUCCACAUGAGUAAAUGUAUGUUUUCACCAGAGAUACCAUUAAAGAGUUCUUAAUUCAA